rnacentral:rRNA from 1 species
ACGCUCGACACCUACGGGAGGCAGCAGUGAGGAAUAUUGGUCAAUGGGCGCAGGCCUGAACCAGCCAAGUAGCGUGAAGGAUGACUGCCCUAUGGGUUGUAAACUUCUUUUAUAUGGGAAUAAAGUUUUCCACGUGUGGAAUUUUGUAUGUACCAUAUGAAUAAGGAUCGGCUAACUCCGUGCCGGCAGCCGCGGUAAUCUGAGCGGGCUGGCAAGGC